AUUGAACGCUGGCGGCAGGCCUAACACAUGCAAGUCGAGCGAGCGGCGGACGGGUGAGUAAUGUCUGGGAAACUGCCUGAUGGAGGGGGAUAACUACUGGAAACGGGAGAUAAUACCGCAUACCACAAGAGGGGCCCAGAGGGGAUUAGCUAGGAGGUUGGGUAACGGCUCACAUAGGCGACGAUCCCUAGCUGGUCUGAGAGGAUGACCAGCCACACUGGCACUGGGACACGGUCCAGCCUCCUCCGGGAGGCAGCAGGGGCGAAUAUUGCACAAUGGGCGCAAGCCUGAUGCAGCCAUGCCGCGUGUGUGAAGAAGGCCUUCGGGUUGUAAAGCACUUUCAGCGGGGAGGCGUUACCCGCAGAAGAAGCACCGGCUAACUCCGUGCCAGCAGCCGUGGUAAUAC
rnacentral:rRNA from 1 species